CACAGCCUCAGCAUGCUGCCCCAGCUGCCCCAGCUGCCCCAGCUGCCUCAGCUGCCUCAGCGAGUCAGCAGCUCUAAAAUCUGUCCUGAGUCACAGCAAGAAGUGGUCAGAGGCUUUGGGAUGCGUGUCCCAGGCACACAGCCGACUCUCUGCAUUAGCCUGCUAAACAUCUUGCAUUCUGCAGCUCACACAUGUUGCCUGUUUGUGCAGUGACGAGAGAAAACGGCGAGGAGGGU
rnacentral:lncRNA from 1 species